GCAGCUGCCUUCUUGGAGGGGCCCUUAUACCAAGCAGUGUGGUAAGACAGAUUGGCACUAAAUUUUGCAAUUUGCACCCUUGUAUCUUGGCAUGAACAGCUGAGCCCAGUGGAGGAUUUAGCCCCAUAGGAGAACAGCAAAAGAUGCCACAGAAAUGCACCCGGAAACACCCUCCUCCUAGUCCCGUACACUAAACUUGAUUAGACACCCCAUCAGCAAAAGGAUGGAGGCAGCAUGCUGAUGUUGCGAUGGAUAUGGGAACCUGGAUAAAUUCACUUCAGUUAGACAGGAAAUCUGUAUCCUCUCUCCAAAGGUAUUGGGACUGAGCCUUCACAGCAGACACAUCUCUUGAUCCUGCAUCAAUCAGCUGCUGAGUCCAAAGAGCUGUCUUUCACUCCUGUAAUUGCAGCCUUUCCCUGUGAACUCUGAUUGACCACUCU